GGCUUAGAGUUUGAUCAUGGCUCAGGACGAACGCUGGCGGCGCGCCUAACACAUGCAAGUCGAACGGAAUGCGGAGAGGAUUUAUCUUUUCUGUGUUUAGUGGCGAACGGGUGAGUAACGCGUGAGGAACCUGCCUCAAAGAGGGGGACAACAGUUGGAAACGACUGCUAAUACCGCAUAAGCCCACGGGGCCGCAUGGCCCUGAGGGAAAAGGAGCAAUCCGCUUUGAGAUGGCCUCGCGUCCGAUUAGCUGGUUGGUGAGGUAACGGCCCACCAAGGCGACGAUCGGUAGCCGGACUGAGAGGUUGAACGGCCACAUUGGGACUGAGACACGGCCCAGACUCCUACGGGAGGCAGCAGUGGGGAAUAUUGCACAAUGGGGGAAACCCUGAUGCAGCGACGCCGCGUGGAGGAAGAAGGUCUUCGGAUUGUAAACUCCUGUUGUUGGGGAAAAGAAGGAUGGUACCCAACAAGGAAGUGACGGCUAACUACGUGCCAGCAGCCGCGGUAAAACGUAGGUCACGAGCGUUGUCCGGAAUUACUGGGUGUAAAGGGAGCGCAGGCGGGUAUGCAAGUUGGGAGUGAAAUGCAUGGGCUCAACCCAUGAACUGCUCUCAAAACUGCGUAUCUUGAGUAGUGCAGAGGUAGGCGGAAUUCCCGGUGUAGCGGUGGAAUGCGUAGAUAUCGGGAGGAACACCAGUGGCGAAGGCGGCCUACUGGGCACCAACUGACGCUGAGGCUCGAAAGUGUGGGUAGCAAACAGGAUUAGAUACCCUGGUAGUCCACACCGUANACGAUGAUUACUAGGUGUUGGAGGAUAGACCCCUUCAGUGCCGCAGUUAACACAAUAAGUAAUCCACCUGGGGAGUACGACCGCA
rnacentral:rRNA from 1 species